UACGUAGGGCGCAAGCGUUGUCCGGAAUUAUUGGGCGUAAAGAGCUCGUAGGCGGUCUGUCGCGUAGCCACUGACAGUUUGAUGGCUCAACUACAAAAGGCGUGACUAAACGGAGAGACUUGAGGGCUUCAGGAGGAAGAGAGAAUUCCGGGUGGAGUGGUGAAAUGCGUAGAGAUCCGGAGGAAUACCAAAGGCGAAGGCACUCUUCUGGGAAGUUCCGUGACGCUCAGGUGCGAAAGCUAGGGGAGCGAACGGG
rnacentral:rRNA from 1 species